rnacentral:piRNA from 1 species
CUCAGGGAGAGGUGAGCGCUCGCGG